AUUGUUUUCAUUUUAUAAAUACUAUAUUACUGAUAAAUCUGGUCACAAGCAAUUUAUUUUCGCCGAGUCAUCAUAUGUGCAUCUAUAUUGAACAAGUCAAUUGAUCGAGCAACAGCAAAAUGAUAUGCUUAAGAUACGUCGUGCUUCUGCUGGCUUUUUUACAUUGCUCGCACACCUUCCCUCACGUAAUAAUACAAGAUUUCGAAAAACCAGGCAAAGCAUUAACGGCUUGCUACUGUCCAAAUGGUAGUAAAGGAGUUGAACGCUUUUAUCACUGCUUUCCUCAUGAGACGUUUUGUGGUUAUGUGUACAAACUACAUGAUGGUGUUUGCUGCAUCUGAGAACGAUUGUGUGAUAAGAAAUUAGCAUAUUAAAACUAAAAAAAUAGAUAUGUUAUUUGCUCUUGUUAUUUGAUGGUUUAUUCAUAUAAUAUUAAAUUAUUUGAAAUGUAAA